rnacentral:rRNA from 1 species
UAGGGAAUCUUCCGCAAUGGGCGAAAGCCUGACGGAGCAACGCCGCGUGAGUGAUGAAGGUCUUCGGAUCGUAAAACUCUGUUAUUAGGGAAGAACAAAUGUGUAAGUAACUAUGCACGUCUUGACGGUACCUAAUCAGAAAGCCACGGCAACUACGUGCCAGCAGCCGCGGUAAUACGUAGGUGGCAAGCGUUAUCCGGAAUUAUUGGGCGUAAAGCGCGCGUAGGCGGUUUUUUAAGUCUGAUGUGAAAGCCCACGGCUCAACCGUGGAGGGUCAUUGGAAACUGGAAAACUUGAGUGCAGAAGAGGAAAGUGGAAUUCCAUGUGUAGCAGUGAAAUGCGCAGGGAUAUGGAGGAACACCAGUGGCGAAGGCGACUUUCUGGUCUGUAACUGACGCUGAUGUGCGAAAGCGUGGGGAUCAAACAGG